rnacentral:rRNA from 1 species
GACGAACGCUGGCGGCGUGCUUAACACAUGCAAGUCGAACGGAAAGGCCCUGCUUUUGUGGGGUGCUAGAGUGGCGAACGGGUGAGUAACACGUGAGUAACCUGCCUUUGACUUUGGGAUAACUUCAGGAAACUGGGGCUAAUACCGGCUAGGAGCUCCUGCUGCAUGGUGGGGGUUGGAAAGUUUCGGCGGUUGGGGAUGGACUCGCGGCUUAUCAGCUUGUUGGUGGGGUAGUGGCUUACCAAGGCUUUGACGGGUAGCCGGCCUGAGAGGGUGACCAGCCACAUUGGUACUGAGAGACGGCCCAGACUCCUACGGGAGGCAGCAGUGGGGAAUAUUGCACAAUGGGCGGAAGCCUGAUGCAGCAACGCCGCGUUCGGGAUGACGGCCUUCGGGUUGUAAACCGCUUUCGCCUGUGACGAAGCGUGAGUGACGGUAAUGGGUAAAGAAGCACCGGCUAACUACGUG